GAAGAUAGUGUAAGGAACCUCUGGGACGACUUUAAACAUACCAAAGUUUGCAUUAUAGGGAUGCCAAAGGAGAAGAGAGAGAGCAAGGUAGUAAAAUCCUAUUUGGAGAAAUAUGCAGAAAUCUUCCCCCACCUGGUG